rnacentral:rRNA from 1 species
AGUGAACGCUGGCGGUAGGCCUAACACAUGCAAGUCGAACGGCAGCACAGUAAGAGCUUGCUCUUACGGGUGGCGAGUGGCGGACGGGUGAGGAAUACAUCGGAAUCUACUUUUUCGUGGGGGAUAACGUAGGGAAACUUACGCUAAUACCGCAUACGACCUACGGGUGAAAGCAGGGGAUCUUCGGACCUUGCGCGAUUGAAUGAGCCGAUGUCGGAUUAGCUAGUUGGCGGGGUAAAGGCCCACCAAGGCGACGAUCCGUAGCUGGUCUGAGAGGAUGAUAAGCCACACUGGAACUGAGACACGGUCAAGACGACUACGGGAGGCAGCAGUGGGGAAUAUUGGACAAUGGGCGCAAGCCUGAUCCAGCCAUACCGCGUGGGUGAAGAAGGCCUUCGGGUUGUAAAGCCCUUUUGUUGGGAAAGAAAAGCAGCAGGUUAAUACCCCGCUGUUCUGACGGUACCCAAAGAAUAAGCACCGGCUAACUUCGUG